rnacentral:misc_RNA from 1 species
AAACUACGUUGAUCGAGUCGUUAAGAUCACUGACAACUAAAACUUUAUGAUCUAUUACUUUGACACUUGGAACCGCACCCAUUGAUGGAAAACAUAUCCAGAGCUUGUCUGUCUUUCACGUAUUAUGACAAAAGCUUUUAAACCAGAUCACCAUCUUCAAAAGAAAACUGUAAGUAAACCAAGUUUAAGUUGAUGAAUUACGAAAACGGAAAAGAAAGUCUGUUAAGAAAAAGAUCUAACACAGAGAGUGUGAAGACGGACGGAACAAACAAUCGAAAUGACAUCCUCAGAAACUCUUCAAAUGAAUCACUGGACACAGAAUCAAGGUUUACGAAGUCUUGACGAAUUUGUUCAGAAUGAAAUAUUAUGCCAAAGAAAGUACAAUAUCCCAUCAACUGAUCGUCCUAUAUGUCAUUCUAUGAACAUGGAAUUAAUCAGACUAAAGUCUUUUUCAAAUUUCCCGUCCUCUAAAGCUGUUUCUGCACUGCGACUGGCUCGCCAAGGGUUUUAUUAUUCUAUGGAAUAUGACGUCACAAUCUGUUUUGCUUGUGACUGUCGAAAACGAGACUGGAGGUCGGGGGAUGACAUCGAGGUCGUUCAUCGUAACAUGUCUCCUGACUGUCCCCUUCUGUCGUCACAGCCCACUAGCAACAUCCAAAUUGGAAAUAAGCAAAGUAAUGGACAUUGUAUAAACGAACCUGAGCAGCGAAUUAACGCUAGUGGCAACGAUUUAUCUAGCAAUAAUAAUGAAAUACCAUCCUCUUUAACUUCAUACAGUGUUUCGACUGGAAACAAAAUAACAAAAGAACCGAAUGCUGAUAGAAAAGACAAAAAAGCUGACGUACAAGCACUCGCGUCACGGAAGAAGUCAAACGAUGCUUGUGGCAACGAUUUUCCUAGCAGUAGCAAUAGACAUUCAUCCUUAUUAACUUCAGGAAGUAUUUCGUUUGGAAACGCAAUCAAAGCAGAACCAAAUAUUGAUAAUAUAGACAAAAAAGGUAGCAGUAAAGCUCCUUCGUCAAAUAAGACUGCAAAUGACCUGUUAACUAAGACGAGAAAACAACAGGAUAAGAUAAAUGCAUUCAUUCGGAACUUGGAUCCAUUAGGUAUUAAUUUUGAUCGACCGAAAUAUCCAUCUUACUCCUUGCUGACUGUCAGAGUGAGUUCCUUUGCGGAUUGGCCAUCUACUUUAAUACAGACUCCUAGAGAUUUAGCAGUAGCAGGGUUUUUGUAUGCAGGUUACGGGGAUUACACCCGUUGUUUCUUUUGUGGGGGAGGAUUACGUAAUUGGGAGGCUGGAGACGAUCCAUGGACAGAACACGCCCGAUGGUUUCCAAAGUGUGCCUUUGUGAGACAAAACAAAGGAGACGAAUUUGUUGCCUUAGUUCAAAUUCAGCAUCAAGAACUGGAAGCUAUAGGAGCACCAAACGAAAACCAGGCGGGAGACCAAGCAUCUGGACCCUUAACUUCAACCUCUGAACUUUCAUCAUUGCCAAAUGUUUGUAAUCUUCCAGCUUUUCAGAGUGUUUUAGAAAUGGGAUAUCCGUCUCAUGUUAUACAAGAAGCUUUUGAUGUUCUCAAAAACACAAAAGGUCAGGGAAAAGCAAAGAAACGUCUUUGUAUCGUUUAUUUACACAUCAAACUGAAAUCAAAAUACAAUCGUUUUCUCUCCGAUUUCUCCUUUCAGAGUACAUAAACAUCAAGGCAGAAGAAGUAAUGGAGACCAUACUCUCUAGAGACGACAAACCACCCUCGUCUGCUGCGAAAACGUCGGAAAGUGUCAAUAACAUUAUUACAAAGUCAUACGAAGAUAUUAUAAAUGUUAAUAAGCAGCAAACAAACUCGUCAGUGUCAAUUACAAAAGAAUCGGGUGAAGCAGACACUCCCUCGUUGAUCGAGGAGAACAGACAACUAAAGGACCUCAGGAUGUGUAAGAUCUGUAUGGAGAAUGACGCUUCUAUCGCCAUGUUGCCGUGUGGACAUCUUUGUUGUUGUACGGACUGUGCCCCCGCCAUGCGGAAGUGCCCAAUAUGUCAGCAGUUUGUGAAAGGCACAGUCCGUACUUGGCUAGCAUGACCAACUAAUUUGUUUAAUACUAAACAAAUUUUGAU